rnacentral:tRNA from 2 species
GGAUGAAUGGCUGAGUGGUUUAAAGCAUCAAUUUUGAAAAUUGGCAUAAGUGUAAGACUUAUCGUGGGUUCAAAUCCUACUUCAUCCA